AUUGGAGGAAAGCAGGGGAUCGCAAGACCUUGCGCUGAUUGAGCGGCCGAUAUCAGAUUAGCUAGUUGGUGAGGUAAAAGCUCACCAAGGCGACGAUCUGUAGCGGGUCUGAGAGGAUGAUCCGCCACACUGGAACUGAGACACGGUCCAGACUCCUACGGGAGGCAGCAGUGGGGAAUUUUGGACAAUGGGGGCAACCCUGAUCCAGCCAUGCCGCGUGAGUGAAGAAGGCCUUCGGGUUGUAAAGCUCUUUCAGCCGGGAAGAAAAUGCAUAGGUUAAUACCCUGUGCGGAUGACGGUACCGGAAUAAGAAGCACCGGCUAACUACGUGCCAGCAGCCGCGGUAAUACGUAGGGUGCGAGCGUUAAUCGGAAUUACUGGGCGUAAAGCGUGCGCAGGCGGUUUUGUAAGACAGGCGUGAAAUCCCCGGGCUUAACCUGGGAACUGCGUUUGAAACUACAAGGCUAGA
rnacentral:rRNA from 1 species